UCAAAAACAGCUAAAAGCCAUAAAACCAUCAUUGAGCUGUAUAAAUCUUAGAAGACUUUACAAAGCCAAACAAGAAUCAAUAGGAAAUGGUCAUAAAAUCUGCUCAGACAAGAUAAUUUUUCCUAGAUACCGCAAGGUCAGCAACAUCCUGGCAUUCAAUAUCUGAAAUAUCCUGAAUGAAUAUAGAGUCAGAUAGGAAUUAAGGCCAUGAUAGCAUAAGGUAGAGAAGGAAAAUGUCAUUCGGAUAUAAAAAUGUAAAACCAAAUUGAUAUCAACAAAUCAGAACCUUGACAAAGGCAUAACUUCCAGAGAUCAUACUGGAACAAGCAGAUAAUGUUGGAUGAGAACGGACACACCAUGCUAUUAAACACGGG